AGGAGGAUGAGCUACCUGCUU
rnacentral:miRNA from 1 species